UCCCUUGUGGCUCAGCUGGUAAAGAAUCCACCUGCAAUGUGGGAGACCUGGGUUCGAUCCCUAGGUUGGGAA
rfam:TPA: Bos taurus chromosome 2, whole genome shotgun sequence.